GAUGAACGCUGGCGGCGUGCCUAAUACAUGCAAGUCGAGCGAACAGGCGAGGAGCUUGCUCCUCUGACGUUAGCGGCGGACGGGUGAGUAACACGUGGAUAACCUACCUAUAAGACUCGGAUAACUUCGGGAAACCGGAGCUAAUACCGGAUAAUAUAUUGAACCGCAUGGUUCAAUAGUGAAAGACGGUUUUGCUGUCACUUAUAGAUGGAUCCGCGCCGCAUUAGCUAGUUGGUAAGGUAACGGCUUACCAAGGCAACGAUGCGUAGCCGACCUGAGAGGGUGAUCGGCCACACUGGAACUGAGACACGGUCCAGACUCCUACGGGAGGCAGCAGUAGGGUAUCUUCCGCAAUGGGCGAAAGCCUGACGGAGCAACGCCGCGUGAGUGAUGAAGGUCUUCGGAUCGUAAAACUCUGUUAUUAGGGAAGAACAAAUGUGUAAGUAACUAUGCACGUCUUGACGGUACCUAAUCAGAAAGCCACGGCUAACUACGUG
rnacentral:rRNA from 1 species